rnacentral:miRNA from 1 species
CGCCCCCUAUACGUCAUCAUUGAGUAAACUUUGACCCGGAACCUCACAGUCAGCAGACACUUCCUGGGAGGGAGGGUCUGCUGCUGAUUGGGUGGAAUGUGUCUGCUGGCUGUGAGGUUCCGGGUCAAAGUUUACUUAAUGAUGACGUAUAGGGGGCG